rnacentral:rRNA from 1 species
UACGUAGGGUGCAAGCGUUGUCCGGAAUUAUUGGGCGUAAAGAGCUCGUAGGCGGUUUGUUGCGUCGGCUGUGAAAUCCCGAGGCUCAACCUCGGGUCUGCAGUCGAUACGAGCAAACUAGAGUGUUGCAGGGGAGACUGGAAUUCCUGGUGUAGCGGUGAAAUGCGCGGAUAUCAGGAGGAACACCGGUGGCGAAGGCGGGUCUCUGGGCCGAUACUGACGCUGAGGAGCGAAAGCGUGGGGAGCGAACAGG